UCAAUCAAGAAUGGAUGCAGAGAUAAGUAUACUGCAAUUAAGAUGGCUUAUAUUAUAAAUGUAUUGUUAAAUGUGUUAGCUUGUAAUAUUAUCAUGUUCUGUUUGCUAAGCUACUGAAUGAAGAAAAAAAUUCAUUUUAAUGUGCCUUAAAAAUUAUUUAGAUGAAACGAUAAGGUUGCCAUUUAAAAAUGGCUUCAAACAAAGAGGAAUGUGCUUAUAUGAACUUACAUGUUGUUUCAUCUCAAAAAUAAUCAUAACAUCAAUUAUAAUACAUUAUAAAACAUACUUAUUUGUGGUUAUACAUUUUAUGAGUAUGAUUAUGUAUAACGCAAUAAACGCAAAUUAAAUCCUCAUAAUUUAUAAUGGAUUAUAAAUCUCAUCUUGGCAUUAUUUAUUUAAAUUCUGUACAGUAUCUUACUUUCUUAUUGAUAUUACCAUAAAUAGAGUUAAAAUCAAAUGUGCCAUAUUACACAUUCAUCUCAGAUCUCUAAACAUAUGGCUGUUUAAGAAAAAAUAUUUUUUUUUAUUUUCAUUAUUGUUGUUGUUGUUGUUAUUUAUAAGUGGUAUUUGUCUGCUUUAAGUAAAGUAACAAGUUAUCAAUGGCAAGAUAUGAGACUUAUAAUUCAUAUCUAUGGGAAAUAUAAUCUAUUGUAAGUUAAGUGAAUGCAUUGUGUUCAUUGUGUAUUAUAAAUCAUCAUAAUCUUAAAAGCUUUAACCACAAAAAAAGUUAAUUACUAUUAGUAUUAAAUGCUUCUCUCUGUUAUUUCUCUAGGAAUGAUGUGACUCUAAUAAUGAGAGAACUUGAUGCCAGUGGUCUUCUUAGAAGAUGUCCUGGGAAAAAAAGGAUUGAACGUACGAACUACUUCAGCCGUGGACCAAAUUACUCUUGGCGUACUGAUGGUUGCCCACGAUUCAUAAGGGCAGACAGAGGAAAGGAAAAUCUUCUCGUCGGACAGAUGCAAGUGGCAUUUCACUUCCGGGAGUCUGGUGAUCAAGGACAAGACUCCUUCAGAGUGGGAACAUCAGUACAUAUUCAGGCAUAUGAGCAUAAAUGGACUUAUAUAUUAUAAUGCAUGCAAAAUAUACAUUUUAUAACAAGAUAUAAUAUUUAUUAUUUUGUUUUAUUAGCAAGUUGAAUGCUUCAACAGUAUGCUGAAGAAAACAUGGAUCAAAAAAUAGCAGGUGACAUUUGAGGUGAACUUUGUUUUCGUCUGUCAUCUGUCAGCAGGUUUAUUGAUGAUAAAUUGAAGGCAUUUUUGUAAUAGAUUUACUUAUCUAAAAAAAUGUGUUCUUAGGCCAUGAUAGAAUCUGGCAUGCUCGAUUUGGACAAUCCUGUACACAUGUAAGUUAAAACGUCUUGUCAGCCCUCAUGUA
ensembl:lncRNA